UACGAAGGGGGCUAGCGUUGUUCGGAAUUACUGGGCGUAAAGCGCGCGCAGGCGGCUAUCCAAGUCAGUGGUGAAAGCCCGGAGCUCAACUCCGGAACUGCCAUUGAAACUGUUUAGCUUGAGGACGAGAGAGGUGAGUGGAAUUCCCCAGUGUAGAGGUGAAAAUUUCGUAGAUAUUUGGGGAAAGAACACCGGUGGCGAAGGCGGCUCACUGGCUCGUUAUCUGACGCUCAGGCGCGACAGCGUUGGGGGAUCAAACAGG
rnacentral:rRNA from 1 species